UACGAAGGGGGCUAGCGUUGCUCGGAAUCACUGGGCGUAAAGGGUGCGUAGGCGGGUCUUUAAGUCAGGGGUGAAAUCCUGGAGCUCAACUCCAGAACUGCCUUUGAUACUGAAGAUCUUGAGUUCGGGAGAGGUGAGUGGAACUGCGAGUGUAGAGGUGAAAUUCGUAGAUAUUCGCAAGAACACCAGUGGCGAAGGCGGCUCACUGGCCCGAUACUGACGCUGAUGCACGAAAGUGUGGGGAGCAAACAGG
rnacentral:rRNA from 1 species